rnacentral:rRNA from 1 species
ACGAACGCUGGCGGCAUGCCUAACACAUGCCAGUCGAACGAGACCUUCGGUUCUAGUGGCGCACGGGUGCGUAACGCGUGGGAACCUGCCCUUAGGUUCGGAAUAACUCCCCGAAAGGGGUGCUAAUCCCGGAUAAUGUCUUCGGACCAAAGAUUUAUCGCCUUUGGAUGGGCCCGCGUUGGAUUAGCUAGUUGGUAGGGUAAAAGCCUACCAAGGCGACGAUCCAUAGCUGGUCUGAGAGGAUGAUCAGCCACACUGGGACUGAGACACGGCCCAGACUCCUACGGGAGGCAGCAGUGGGGAAUAUUGGACAAUGGGCGAAAGCCUGAUCCAGCAAUGCCGCGUGAGUGAUGAAGGCCUUAGGGUUGUAAAGCUCUUUUACCCGGGAUGAUAAUGACAGUGCCGGGAGAAUAAGCUCCGGCUAACUCCGUG